CUCCAGUUUAAUAUGAAAUCUACAACACUUGUCAAUCAUAUUGCAUGACUGUGUCUAAAAAUAACAUGUGGGCGUCCCACGGUCUAGAUAGGUUUUGUGUCAGGCCCUAUUUAAAAUUAGAGCCUGAACUUCAGGUUAUAAACAGUGAGACACGAAUUUCUAAAUUUCACCGCGCCCGCUGGAAAUACGAGUCUGCUGUAUUGCGAGACACCCAACAGCUAAAUCAUUCUAUAUUAACCAUUCGAGAAUAGCGAGAUGCAGUGUUCCUUGGUCAGCCCCUCCCCUUCCAUGUACGUCUAUAUGAAGAGUAGUGUUGAAUACGUAUUGAAUACAUUAUACAAGAUAAAGUAUAUAUUAAAAUACAACAAAUUUAAAUAAUCCACAAUCCUUACUAUAUAUAC